rnacentral:rRNA from 1 species
UUUAACGGCCGCGGUAUUUUAACCGUGCAAAGGUAGCGCAAUCACUUGUCCUUUAAAUAGGGACCAGUAUGAAUGGUUAGACGAGGGCUUAACUGUCUCCCUUUUCCAGUCAGUGAAAUUGAUCUAUCCGUGCAGAAGCGGGUAUAAUAAUACAAGACGAGAAGACCCUUUGGAGCUUAAGGUACAAGACUCACCCAUGUAAAACAAGUUUUAAUAAAUCCUUAAACUUAAUGAAAAAUGAAACUUUACCUUCGGUUGGGGCGACCACGGAGGAAAAAACAGCCUCCAAGUGGAAUGGAUACAAUCCAAAACUAAGACGCACACCUCUAAGUAACAGAACAUCUGACCAAAUAUGACCCGGCCACAGAGCCGAUCAACGAACUAAGUUACCCAAGGGAUAACAGCGCAAUCCCCUUCCAGAGUCCAUAUCGACGAGGGGGUUUACGACCUCGAUGUUGGAUCAGG